rnacentral:RNase_P_RNA from 3 species
GAGAGUAGGCGCAGGUGGUUGCAGAUUUGCUGUUUGUGCGAGUCUGAGGAAAGUCCGGGCUCCCGAAAGACCAGACUUGCUGGGUAACGCCCAGUGCGGGCGACCGUGAGGAUAGUGCCACAGAAAGAUACCGCCGGGAAAAUUAAAAAUUAAAAAUGCAAAAUGAAUAAUUUUUAAUUGUCUCGGUAAGGGUGCAAAGGUGCGGUAAGAGCGCACCAGCAGCGUCGAGAGGCGCUGGCUCGGUAAACCCCGGUUGGGAGCAAGGUAGGGAAUCAGGUUGGUCUUUUUCCGAUUCCGUUUUAAAACCGCUUGAGGCGUCUGGUAACAGGCGUCCCAGAUAGAUAACCGCCCUUCCAGCGGCACUGCUGCUGUGGAGAACAGAACCCGGCUUAUGACCGACUCUCUCCC